GGGCCCGUAGUUCAACGGAUAGAGCACUUGGCUUCGAACCAAGGGAUCCGGGUUCGAUUCCUGGCGGGCCCA
rnacentral:tRNA from 1 species